rnacentral:rRNA from 1 species
CAUAUCGUUUCAUACGGGAGGCAGCAGUGGGGAAUAUUGCACAAUGGAGGAAACUCUGAUGCACCAACGCCGCGUGGAGGAUGACCCAUUUCGGUGUGUAAACUCCUUUUAUAGGGGAAGAUAAUGACGGUACCCUAUGAAUAAGCACCGGCUAACUCCGUGCCAACACCCCCGGUAGUACCGAGGGUGCAGGCGUUACUCGGAAUCACUGGGCGUAAAGGAUGCGUAUGCUGGAAAUCAAGUCGAAAGUGAAAUCCAACGGCUCAACCGUUGAACUGCUUUCGAAACUGGUUACCUACAAUAUGGGAGAGGUAGAUGGAAUUAGUGGUGUAGGGGUAAAAUCCGUUGAUAUCACUAGGAAUACCGAUUGCAAAUGCGAUCUACUGGAACAUUAUUGACGCUGAGCAUGAAAAGCGUGGGGAGCAAACAGGAUUAGAUACCCUGGGUAGUCCACGCCCCUAAACGAUGCACACUAGUUGUUGCGAUGCUAGUCAUUGCAGUAAUGCACUUAACAGAUUAAGUGUGCCGCCUGGGGAGUACGGUCGCAAGAUUAAAACUCAAAGGAAUAGACGGGGACCCGCACAAGCGGUGGAGCAUGUGGUUUAAUUCGAAGAUACACGAAGAACCUUACCUGGGCUUGAUAUCCUAAGAAUCCUGUAGAGAUACGGGAGUGCUAGUUUACUAGAACUUAGAGACAGGUGCUGCACGGCUGUCGUCAGCUCGUGUCGUGAGAUGUUGCGUUAAGUCCCGCAACGAGCGCAACCCUCGUGAUUAGUUGCUAACAGUUCGGCUGAGCACUCUAGUCAGACUGCCUCGUAAGGAGGAGGAAGGUGAGGACGACGUCAAGUCAUCAUGGCCCUUAUUCCCAGGGCUACACAAAGUGCUACAAUGGCUAGGACAAAGAGACGCGAUACUGCGAAGUGAG